UGAGAAAGCAGGAUUCUUUCAUAGGGCAGAAGUAGUUUGACCUGGACCUUAAAUUAGGUUUUGGGUUGGAUUUAAAGAAUCCACAUUGAAGAAGAGUAUUCCUAGUGGGAAGAAUAGCAUUAGAAAAUGCACAGAGAUACCAAAAUAUUAGAUGUUUUUUGGAACUCUGAAACGAUUUCAUGUUUCCAGAAUACCAAGAAUUGGGGGUGUGGGAGGGGAGGCAGGAGAAGGAAGAUUUCAUGAGAAAUGAGAUUGGGACCAGACUGUGGAGGAUUUUGAGGGCUGAGAAGUUUUACUUCAUUCUAGAAAUAAUGAGGAACGACUCAGCAUUUGUUUGCCUGCAGUUUGCUUCAGUGACUGAAUAGUGAGGGAGCUGAAGAGUGAUUAAGCAGACUUGGGGCCAGAGUGAAUUCAAGUCUGAUUGCCUCUGGAGGGUGUCUUCCUUCAGCCUUCAUCACUGGAGUGAGGACUGAUAGGUGGCCCAGAAGCCAAGAUUAGAAAUACCAACAAUAGCUCCUAACCUG
rnacentral:lncRNA from 10 species